UACGUAGGGUGCAAGCGUUGUCCGGAAUUAUUGGGCGUAAAGAGCUCGUAGGCGGUUUGUCGCGUCGGCUGUGAAAGCCCGGAGCUCAACUCCGGGUCUGCAGUCGAUACAGGCAGACUUGAGUGUUGCAGGGGAGACUGGAAUUCCUGGUGUAGCGGUGAAAUGCGCAGAUAUCAGGAGGAACACCGGUGGCGAAGGCGGGUCUCUGGGCAACAACUGACGCUGAGGAGCGAAAGCGUGGGGAGCGAACAGG
rnacentral:rRNA from 1 species